rnacentral:lncRNA from 1 species
GUUCAUGCUCACCUCUCUCUCCAUUGCUUCUCUCGUGUUUGUCUCACAUUGAAUCCAGGUUUCUCGCUUCAAUUCCUUCUCAUUGUACAUUUAAUAGUUGUGAUUCUCAAUUCUUGAAGUUGAAUGGCUGCGUUCUGCAUACGGAUUUACUCUGCUCCUUUGGAAAUUUGAAACCCUAGUGUCGAUUGUGUUUAAAGUGGUUCUCCAACGUGAUGGUGUUUACCGAUUGCUUCUGCAUAGACUAAGGUUGAAAUUGAUAGACUUUGCUUCGAAAGUGAAAGUACAUUCAAAGGAAAACUUGGAAGACUUUGGCAUAGCAUGAGCUUGUCUUCUUCCUUUUUGUUCUUUUUCUUCUGUAUACUCUUGGAUUUUCCUCCCUAGAUAUUGAAUUUUUUGGUACACCAUCUCUUGUCAAUCGGCUCCACUUUUUCAUGAGCUUCUUAACUCCCAUGAUUUAUUAACAACCCGGACAAUAUGCGUUUUAGUAUUUUCUCAAUGAACCAGUCUUCAUUCAUUUAGUCAUCUUUUGCUGUGAGGAAAAAAGAAAAAACCAAUUGCUAAAUGAUAAAUAUUGUUUUAUGGAUCUUGAAGUGGAGGGUUUGGAAAUUAUCGAAUAAGGUUACUACUGCAGCUUUGCACAUGUGCAUACAUGUUUGAGAAAAGUAUCCUGAUCUAUAUGUAUUAUGUCAUUUGCUG